rnacentral:lncRNA from 1 species
UGGUGAUGAAAUUCCUAAUAAUUACCAAUAAAACAUUGAUAAUGUUCAUUCUAAUCUGAAACGUAAAUUACAAAUGCGGGCGAAGCAAACUGGUUGGGCUAUAUACCCACAGUGUGAAGGAACAAAAGGAAGAUCACCGUCUACGAUCUGCGACUUUUCUUAUGGAGUCGGACAUGGAGACGGACUUCUGGAAAAUAAAUAUAGAACCAUAAUUUUACUGCGUUUUAGUUUUAGUUA